ensembl:misc_RNA Y_RNA Y RNA
GGCUGGUCCGAUGGCAGCGGGUUAGCAGAACUUAUUAACAUUAGUGUCACUAAAGUUAGUAUACCACCUCCCCACUGCUAAAUUUGACUGGCUUUAA